AAUUCGUAAAGCCGGCUGUACACAUGGGGUCAAGGUGUUGGGCCAACGUGUAGAGAGCUACUUGACGGUAUGUUGGCUUAAUUGGUCUAGUUGGCGCCAACAUUGACAGGCCAUCCGAAUAGUGUCGGUUUUUAGUGCACACAUCAAAGGAUCUUGGCGCGCUCCGCAAACAGCGUUCACACGUUGGUGUCUUGUUCAGUUCGUUGUUACUCGUCAGUGGAGACAGUAUCGUUGCGCGUGAGUGAAAUUUACGUUCCCAUGUUCCGAUAGCGAUGGCGGCGCCGGUGUGGACAAGUAAUGAGGUUUUACAAUUCAUAGAAUUGUAUCGACAUGAAGGAAUAAUUUGGAAUCCACGGCAUGAACUACAUAAAAAUAAAACCAAAGUUAAUGAUGCGUGGAUUCGCAUAGCGGAUAAAAUUAAUAUACCUGUUAAUGAAUUGAAAAAGAAAAAAGAGUCAUUAAUGACAACAUUCAGAAUGCACCACAAAAAGAAAACUCAAUCAAUAAAAUCAGGAAUUGGUGAAGAUGAACGAUAUGAUCCUAUUUGGCCGUAUUACGAGCCUCUCGAAGCUUUUUUAAACGAUGUCUAUGUAUGCUCCAGUGUUAACACUGAGGAAAAGAUUAUAUACAGGAUUCGUCAUCCACACGUGACUACGAAACAGAGGCAGAAACCGACUUCAAUCGUCCCGUUAUUGAAAGUGACACAUCUCAAGAUGGGAAUACGAGUACUAAAUCAAAAGUUACUGCUCUUCCAACUCAAAAGCGCCGUUCGAAAAAUCCACCAGAGUUAUCAGAGGCCAGCAAGGAGGUGGCAAAUGCUUUUGGCACAUUAAACAGAGUGUUUGAUAAUAAAACUGCAAGACAUGAUGAUGAUUGUGAUCUAUAUGCUAAACUUCUUGCCACAAAAUUAAGAAAAUUUCCAGAAUAUGAAAGAGAAGAAAUUAAGUUAGAGAUUGAUAGCAUGUUGAUAAAAAGACGUCGAGGUAGCCAAAAUAUUAUUACUGAUUCCACUAAUAUGAAUCGUUCAUCCUCCUCACAAAGUUCUUAUCGCUCAAACUGGUCUCGCUCAUCUCCUUCACCACACUACCGACCCAACUCAGCACAGUCCAUCCUUCCAACUUACGUUACUAUUCCCAAUCAAUCUCCGCAUAACCCAUCCCAUUCACCGCAGUAUGUUUUUAAUGAACCCCAAACUCAACGUAUUCUGAUAUUGUCUAAUGAUAAAAUAUAUUCACAAUCACAACUAAUGCAGUCUUCAUCUGCUCAAAGGCUACAAACAGCAUCUCCAGAACUACCUGUUGACCUUCAUUUACCAGAAUUAUCUGAUAGAACGUACGACCAGUCUCAGUCUUUAGAGACUCAAAAUAUAAUAUAUCAGGCAUAUGAAGACGCAUAAAACACACAAAUGAAAAGUUCAUGUGAUGCUAAACAUUGUUUCAUGAUGAUUCAAGUAAUUGAUCUCUACAUGGUAAAAUAAAGACUGUUGUAUUUUGAAACU